UUAUGGAAUUUCUUGUGAUGCGUUUAGUGUUCAUGAACACUAAACGCAUCACAAGAAAUUCUUG
rnacentral:pre_miRNA from 1 species